UAGAGAAAAUCAUCACGUACUUAUAUAGGUUCAUAAUCGGUUGAACGUCUCUACCAGCCGCCGGAAACGGCUGACUAUAAGUAUGCGGGCGGCAGAG
rnacentral:ncRNA from 2 species